GACGAACGCUGGCGGCGUGCUUAACACAUGCAAGUCGAACGGAAAGGCCCUGCUUUUGUGGGGUGCUCGAGUGGCGAACGGGUGAGUAACACGUGAGUAACCUGCCCUUGACUUUGGGAUAACUUCAGGAAACUGGGGCUAAUACCGGAUAGGAGCUCCUGCUGCAUGGUGGGGGUUGGAAAGUUUCGGCGGUUGGGGAUGGACUCGCGGCUUAUCAGCUUGUUGGUGGGGUAGUGGCUUACCAAGGCUUUGACGGGUAGCCGGCCUGAGAGGGUGACCGGCCACAUUGGGACUGAGAUACGGCCCAGACUCCUAAGGGAGGCAGCAGGGGAGAAUAUUGCACAAUGAGCGGAAGCCUGAUGCAGCAACGCCGGGUGCGGGAUGACGGGCUUUGGGUUGUAAACCGCUUUCGCCUGUGACGAAGCGUGAGUGACGGUAAUGGGUAAAGAAGCACCGGCUAACUACGUG
rnacentral:rRNA from 1 species